CCAGGAGCGUGCCCAUGAGUGAACUAAAGAUGUGACCUUUUAAAUAUCGUGUCUCUGAAGGUCUCACACUGUGGGUCGAAUCCUGGGAAAAUGUCAUGUCAACUGGUAAACAGCCUCACCAGUACAAUUUACUCUAUUUCCACCAAUAGGGGAAAGCGUUUGCUUGGGCUGUGAAUUGUCUCCUCUUUCCACGGAGCCUCGCAUAGGAAACACAAGAAACAGAGGUGAAGGACAGUUAGUUGUGCCAUUGGAUUUUCGUGGAGAAGUAAAUCAAUAUGAAGAAUGGCAAGUAAAAAAAAAAAAGGAAAUUUUUAACAUUCACAAUGGAUUGUAUUGGUAAGGGUCUCUCAAUUGGAGAAUGUUUGAAAAGUUAUAGAGCUUGAAAAGAAAAUUCUAGCUUCUAUAUCCAAUUAAUCGUUCAUUCAACAUUCAUUAAUCAAAUAAUUAUUGAGCCCCUACUAUGGGUCAGGCAUGGUUUCAGGUAAUUUGAAAUACAUGAGUGAACCAAAUGAACUAAUUCCAUUAGUAAUUUCUAUGAUAUUCCAGAAGACACUAAACCUAUAGAAAGGGGAAACAGUAGAGUAGGAUAGUGGAGGAGAGAAGACAAAAGUAGUUCUAAUUUUGAAUAGGGUGGUCUGGGAAGGCUUCAUGGAACCCAGGUAAUUUGAGCAAAAAGUUGAAGGAGGUGAGGGAUUUAGUUCUGCGGAUACCCGGAGGAGAGGCUUCCUGACAGAGGGAGAAGUUAGAGCAAAAGUGCGGCUGGGGCAUUCCACUGUUUUUUUGGCGGCCUAGGAUCACGGGGAUGAGGGAGAAUUCUAAUUGGGGUCACCUCAAGUAGGUCAUGGUGACCAUCUACAGGGGCUUUGGCUUUUCCUUGGAAGGAAUUAGGGAGUCAUAUCAGGGUAUUGGACAGAAGCCUGACAUGAUCUGACAUGUUUUCAAAGGGUCGUGUGUUUUGAGUACGUUUUGGGGGGGACUAUAUCAGAUACAUAGAGAGUCUAUAAUCUAGGUGAGAGAUAAUGGCUUGGAUUAGUAUUGCAGCAAUG
rnacentral:lncRNA from 1 species